rnacentral:rRNA from 1 species
AGAGUUUGAUCCUGGCUCAGAACGAACGCUGGCGGCAGGCUUAACACAUGCAAGUCGAACGCGUGUAGCAAUACACGAGUGGCGCACGGGUGAGUAACGCGUGGAUAUCUGCCUUUUGGUUCGGAAUAACCCCGGGAAACUGGGGCUAAUACCGGAUGGUUCCUUCGGGAUAAAGAUUUAUCGCCAAAAGAUGAGUCCGCGUACGAUUAGCUAGUUGGUGAGGUAAUGGCUCACCAAGGCGACGAUCGUUAGCUGGUCUGAGAGGACGAUCAGCCACACUGGGACUGAGACACGGCCCAGACUCCUACGGGAGGCAGCAGUGGGGAAUAUUGGACAAUGGGCGCAAGCCUGAUCCAGCCAUGCCGCGUGAGUGAUGAAGGCCUUCGGGUUGUAAAGCUCUUUUGGCGGGGACGAUGAUGACGGUACCCGCAGAAUAAGCCCCGGCUAACUUCGUGCCAGCAGCCGCGGUAAGACGAAGGGGGCUAGCGUUGUUCGGAAUUACUGGGCGUAAAGCGAGUGUAGGUGGUUAUCCAAGUUGGAUGUGAAAGCCUUGAGCUCAACUCAAGAAAUGCGUUCAGGACUGGAUGACUAGAGGACCGGAGAGGAUAGUGGAAUUCCCAGUGUAGUGGUGAAAUACGUAGAGAUUGGGAAGAACACCAGUGGCGAAGGCGGCUAUCUGGACGGUUUCUGACACUAAGACUCGAAAGCGUGGGGAGCAACCGGAUUAGAUACCCUGGUAG